rnacentral:rRNA from 1 species
AUUUAUCAUCUUACCAUGCUCAAUACGCCGGUUCUCGUCCGAUCACCGAAGCCAAGCAGCAUUGGGCUCGGUCAGUACUUGGGAGGAAGACCAUUUCUCAUCUGUA